rnacentral:rRNA from 1 species
AUCGAACGCUGGCGGCAUGCCUUACACAUGCAAGUCGAACGGUAGAGGGGCAACCCUCGAGAGUGGCGAACGGGUGAGUAAUGCAUCGGAACGUGCCCAGUCGUGGGGGAUAACGUAGCGAAAGCUACGCUAAUACCGCAUACGACCUGAGGGUGAAAGCGGGGGACCUGCAAGGGCCUCGCGCGAUUGGAGCGGCCGAUGUCAGAUUAGGUAGUUGGUGGGGUAAAGGCCUACCAAGCCGACGAUCUGUAGCUGGUCUGAGAGGACGACCAGCCACACUGGGACUGAGACACGGCCCAGACUCCGACGGGAGGCAGCAGUGGGGAAUUUUGGACAAUGGGCGCAAGCCUGAUCCAGCCAUGCCGCGUGCGGGAAGAAGGCCUUCGGGUUGUAAACCGCUUUUGUCAGGGAAGAAAUCUUCUGGGUUAAUACCUCGGGGGGAUGACGGUACCUGAAGAAUAAGCACCGGCUAACUACGUGCCAGCCGCCGCAGUAA